rnacentral:snRNA from 1 species
GUGCUCGCUUCGGCAGCACAUAUACUAAAAAAUUGGAAUGAUACAGAGAAGAUUAGCAUGGCCCCUGCGCAAGGAUGACACGCAAAUUGGUGAAGCGUUCCAAAAAAAA